GGGCGGCUGAGCCAAGAGGGACGUGGCGCUCUGCGACGCGGGCGGGGAAACCGCGCCCCUUCCUUUUCGAGCGUUGUGGAGCAAGAUUUGGGCGGGAUCCCACGGAACAAGAACUGGCAAGUUUUUCAUUGUGUUCAGAAGAGGGGAGAGGGAGACGGUAGUACUUACAAGAGACAAAACUCUAGGAGGACUGGGAACCCAGGAUUGGUGGUUCUGUAGCCAGGAACAAAGCCCAAAAGCACACCCUAGAGCUGAGCUGGUGAAGACGCCACAGUGGCCACUAGGCCCAAACACUGUAGCUCGUGUCAGGGAUCCCCCAACCUGACACUGGAUGCCUGCCUCUGGAUCCACUGCCACUGCUACUCUGGGAACUGGAUGGAGCUGAGGGGACUGCAGCCGCCUUACUAGAAGAGAUUCCACACAGCCCCUGCUUCUUUACGUCUGUAACUUCACACCCACCAUCGUUUUCUGAGGAACCUGCCUCACCCAGCCCACUACUGAGGGAACGUGUGGGAGUCAAGCUAUUCUAUAAACAGAGGUGGCUACUGGUUGGACCAGCCAUGGGACCUGAUUCGAGAACCACAAACCCACAGACUGGCCUGUGAGAAUGAGAUUGCUCAGCCGUCAAAGCUCUGACCAAUCGGCAUAAUGAAAGCUAUUUGAAUCAAUUUGGCUCUACUUCUGAAAUCUGAAAUUUGAGAAAAUAUUGAAAGACUCACUGGUUGGCAGCAGGGGGAGAUAUGAGAAGACACACGAGGAGAAACAGAGAUAAGAGAGAUGAAAAACUCCCAUUAAUAAUGGGAUAAUAAAUGACAAGGGAUAGUGAAAUAACCUCAGCCCCAGGCUAGCCUUGCAUUCUGAAGGAUGGCUGCUCUGAGAUUUCUGUGAAAUUCUCUUUCCCUCAGUGCUACAUGUAUCCUGCUUGAGUGAUGAC
rnacentral:lncRNA from 1 species